rnacentral:rRNA from 1 species
AGUGAACGCUGGCGGUAGGCCUAACACAUGCAAGUCGAACGACAGCACAGUAAGAGCUUGCUCUUACGGGUGGCGAGUGACGGACGGGUGAGGAAUACAUCGGAAUCUACUUUUUCGUGGGGGAUAACGUAGGAAAACUUACGCUACUACCGCAUACGACCUACGGGUGAAAGCAGGAGAUCUUCGGGCCUUGCGCGAUUGAAUGAGCCGAUGUCGGAUUAGCUAGUUGGCGGGGUAAGGGCCCACCAAGGCGACGAACCGUGGCUGGUCUGAGAGGAUGAUCAGCCACAAUGGAACUGAGACACGGUCCAGACUCCUACGGGAGGCAGCAGUGGGGAAUAUUGGACAAUGGGCGCAAGCCUGAUCCAGCCAUACCGCGUGGGUGAAGAAGGCCUUCGGGUUGUAAAGCCCUUUUGUGGGGAAAGAAAAGCAGCAGGUUAAUACCCCGCUGUUCGGACGGUACCAAAAGAAUAAGCACCGGCUAACUUCGU